GACCGAUCAAAUAAGAGAAAAGUAAAAAACGACACAUCGUCUGGAAGGGGGUAACAAAAUCAAAACCAUUUCAAAAUAUCAAAUGCCGAAGCUCGCAGGCAUUCGCAUUCUACACCAAAAACCAAGAGAUCACAUAUUUUCGGAACUUUCUCGGGAAAAUCGCUACAAUUUUCUCGAGAAAAUCAAAGUUUUCUCUUUCAAAGUCAUAAUUUCUUUUUUUUUUUAUGAUGGAAUUAUCAAAAUUUGGAGCUCUGUUUGUGUUAGUCGCAUUAGUUUGGAUUCAAUCUGGAGCUUCGCUUCGAUCGCAGAGAACUGAACAGGCUUACGUGACGCUAUUGUAUGGAGAUGAAUUCCUGUUGGGAGUUAGGGUGUUGGGGAAGUCGAUUAGAGACACUGGAUCGAAUAAGGACAUGGUGGUUUUGGUCUCUGAUGGUGUCUCUGAUUACGCCAUGAAGCUUCUUGAGGCUGACGGGUGGAUAGUGGAGAAGAUUAGCUUGUUGGCAAACCCUAAUCAAGUGCGUCCAAAGAGGUUUUGGGGUGUAUACACCAAGCUUAAAAUCUUUAAUAUGACUAGCUACAAGAAAGUUUUAUAUCUUGAUGCGGAUACUAUAGUGAUUAAAAGUAUCGAGGAUCUAUUUAAAUGUGGAAAGUUCUGUGCAAACCUGAAACAUUCCGAGAGGUUGAAUUCUGGAGUCAUGGUAGUGGAACCAUCUCAAUCAGUUUUCAAUGACAUGAUGACUAAAGUGAACACUUUGCACUCUUACACUGGAGGAGAUCAGGGGUUUCUGAACUCAUAUUACUCCGACUUUCCCAAUGCACAUGUUUUCCAGCCUAAUUUACCCCAGGAAGUGUUGAAUUCUAGACCUGUACCAGCUAUGGAGCGACUCUCUACUCUAUAUAAUGCAGAUGUUGGUCUCUACAUGCUUGCUAACAAGUGGAUGGUAAAUGAGUCUGAACUACAUGUUAUUCACUAUACACUUGGCCCCCUUAAGCCAUGGGACUGGUGGACAUCCUGGCUUUUAAAACCUGUUGAUGUCUGGCAGACUGCCAGGGAACAACUUGAUGAAUCUCUUCCUGGGACUGGAGGUGGCAGAAAUCCUAAUGAUGAACUGCUUGUCAAGUUUCUUUUUAUGUUGCCAUUAUGUGCUGUAUUCUUCAGUUGCUAUCGAUCAUUUCUUCAGACACGGGCAUUUUGCAGAAGUUCAUUAUGUGAUCAUAUGAGACACCUCUACUACAGAAUUAGAUCUAAUGGAUAUGCUGGUGUUUCUUCAUCAUCUACCUUCAGUUCAGCCAAUCAUGUUAGUCUCCUCUUCCUUUCUUGCCAGUUUGAUGGGUAUGAUUGCUCACAGCAUAAUUAUUGUCUUAAAAAUAAUGGUCAUGUGUGAUUAUUUUAUGUUUCCUUUCUUCAGUUCGACAGUUCUUUAUGGAUCUUAAAGGUUUUUGUGGUGAUGUUAAACAGUUCUCUAAUGAUGCGCAGUCAAAGGUGCCUGCCUGUUUGGGUGGUCUUUCCAUCUGUGUGUGUUUUAUGGCUGCUUUGGUGUCUCUUGCAUGUAGCCUUGCAAUUGUGCCUAGACAAGUGAUGCCUUGGACUGGUUUGCUCUUAAUGUAUGAGUGGACAUUCACGAUCUUCUUCCUUUUAUUUGGAGGUUUUCUUCGUUUGACCUAUAUUUGGGGAAAGAUGACAGCUGCUCAAGUAUCUCUUCCCUCACUUCCUGAAUCUCUUGAUUGUGAUUCUGGAAAAGGCCAUCUACGGCAAGGAUCAUCUUGUGAUGUUGCUGCUUGGUAUUAUGGGUUAGGAAUGGCAUUUCUGGCUGUUGCUGCCCCAGCUUUGCCAUGUAUUUUUGGGAUUACUGCUCUUUUUUUGAGGUUAGGCUUGGUGGCUGCUGGAGGCAUUGUUUUGGCAUCUUUCAUGACGUAUGCUUCUGAGCACCUUGGAAUCAGAUCAUUUUUGAAAGGUUUUGAAGAUAGGGACAUAACACGAGCAAGGAGUAUAUGUGUCUGAAGCCGACUGGCAUCUUAAAGAUGAUGAAUGUUGGUGUACUUGUAAUUUAUGCAACAUUAAUUAAUUGAUUGAGAUUGUCAGAUUAGAGAAAUGCCUUUAUUCGAAGGGGGGUUUUUGUUGUAAUAUUGAACAUGUUUGAUCACAGUUUUAAGUACAAUGCUUCAUUCAAUUUUGAGCCUUCCAAAAUGAAACUUGCAAAUGUAAAUGUUUGAAAAUGUCACUAUGCUAAUCACAUAUUU
rnacentral:misc_RNA from 1 species